rnacentral:rRNA from 1 species
UCCUGCAACAAAACCAAGUAUAGGAGGUCCAGCCUGCCCAGUGACCACAAGUUCAACGGCCGCGGUAUUUUGACCGUGCAAAGGUAGCGCAAUCACUUGUCUUUUAAAUAGAGACCUGUAUGAAUGGCUAAACGAGGGCUUAACUGUCUCCCCUUUCAAGUCAGUGAAAUUGAUCUACCCGUGCAGAAGCGGGUAUAAUAAUACAAGACGAGAAGACCCUUUGGAGCUUAAGGUACAAAACUCAGCCACGUCAAGCAACUUAAUAAAAAGCAAAAACCUUGUGGAAUAUGAUAUUUUACCUUCGGUUGGGGCGACCACGGAGGAAAGAAAAGCCUCCAAGUGGACUGGGAGAACUUCCUAAAGCCAAGAGAGACAUCUCUAAGCCGCAGAACAUCUGACCAAACAUGAUCCGGCAACAAAGCCGAUCAACGAACCAAGUUACCCU